rnacentral:rRNA from 1 species
UACGGGGGGGCAAGCGUUGUUCGGAAUUACUGGGCGUAAAGGGCCAGUAGGCGGCCAACUAAGUCCGACGUGAAAUCCCCAGGCUUAACCUGGGAACUGCGUCGGAUACUGGAUGGCUUGAGUUCGGGAGAGGGAUGCGGAAUUCCAGGUGUAGCGGUGAAAUGCGUAGAUAUCUGGAGGAACACCAGCGGCGAAGGCGGCGCUCUGGGCCGGUACUGACGCUGAGGAGCGAAAGCGUGGGUAGCAAACAGG